rnacentral:lncRNA from 1 species
CUGAGACCUUCUCCCACUUCUCCAGGUGGGCAGCCUACCAUGAGGGGGAGAGCCAGCUGAGCACAUCAGGACGUCUGGAUUUGGCCAGAAGACCGGACCUCUCCCCCUGUCAGGACUUCUCAGAGACAGCUCAGCUGGGGAGUUGAAGGCACACACACAACAGCUCAAGAACUGAAUUAUCCUUUGGCUGAAUGGAGAGGGGCGAAAGCAGAGGGCGGCCCAAGUGACAGCAUCUUCGGGAGAGAGGUGACCUCGAUUAUGUGGAAAUUAACGCGGUGACCUGAGGACAGAGGAUGUCCACUGGGGAGGCAGUUGGGCUGGGCGAUGGAUGGAUGGAAUGGAGCUGGAGGUGCAGGAGAAGGGCCAGUGCUGUCUUGGCUGGGGAUGCUGGAGGAAGGGGUGGGGGAGACAGAGGCCUGGACCUGGGGAUAUGGGGCUUUUUUGGGAACCUGAAUCCCAGCCUUCUUUCUCCAAGGCUCAGGUCCGCAUCACCCUGCCUGCCUUGCCUUUUCACUGCCUGCUCUUUAUUUCUUAUUUAAAAAAAAAUUUUUUUAGGGCUGCACCUGCAGCAUAUGGAAAGUCCCAGGCCAGGGGCGGAAUCCAAGCCGCAGUUGCAACCUAUGCUGCAGGUGCAGCAACACCAGAUCCUUACCCACUGUGCCAGGCCUGGGAUUGAACCCCAGCCUUCCCCGCCACCGAGCCACUGCAGUCAGAUUCUCAGCCCACUGCCUGCACUUUAAAAGGGCCUCCUUAAGAACUCUUAUUGAAUCCGUACCCUAUCCCAGUACUACCAAAAUACCUUCCUGUCAUUCCAGGAGUGUGUUGCUAAUUUAUUACUGACAUGUCUUUGCUGAGACAGAGGGAGGUCUGCAGCUGGCUCAUCGAUGCCGUGAGGAAAGAGGACCUGUGACAGUUGACAUUGAAGCUGCUGCUCCUCUUCUUCACAGGCCUUGGACACCAAGUGUGUCUGUGUAUUUGUGUGGGUGCACGCAUGCGUGCGUGUGUGUGUGUGUGUGUGCACGUGAGCGUGCCUGCGCCUGUCUGCAUGAGUGGGUGUUUUGCCUCAAUUUAAUGUUUAGGGUUUUUGCAUCUUUCUUUGCAGAAUACGGGUGGUCCAGAGAUAUAUAGAGUUUCCCCAGGUAUGAGGAAAACACGAAAGCACCCUGGAAAAAAUGCACUGCAAGGCCAAGCGGAGCUGUGCAUUCUUUCCCGAAUCUGCCCACACCCACCUCCGAGGACGUUCUGUUUGGGAAUCUGUCUCCAGCAAAUUCCGAGAACUGAAACAGCUUCAUAAUCACAAACGAUUCAUGUUGAAGCAGCCAAAAUACCAGAAAUUGACAUUCCAGCACAGGCAAAGAUAUUUUUAAAUGUUUAGGAUUUAUAAAGAGAAACAGCCUUCGUAGAACAUAAACCACCCCCGGUUCACACUUGUGUGAUAGAGGCAGCUAAAUCUGAAAGAUAAGUUUCUUUCUUUCUUUCUUUCCCCAAGUGAAGAAUGUCAUGGGUGAGAAAAGAAGUCUGCUGUGAAGAAACUUUAACUGGGCCUUGGCUUUGGUUCAGGACUGGGACUGGGCGGCCUUCGGAGAGCUGCAGCCGGCGAGGCUGCACUCAGCCCUGCUCUUGGCUAGUGAAGCUUUAAGGCAAAGGUCAUCUAAAACUCUAACUAGAAUCGAAAAUAUCAAUACCCUGCUUGAGAUCUCAUGGUCUCAGAACGGCUGAGCUGGUGUCCCGAGCAGUAUUUUUAGAAACAGAAACGCUUAAGGAUGCUGUUCGGAGAUGCUCUGGUCCAAGGUCUUAUGAACACAAAUCACAACCACCACCUUUUCCACGCUCAUCUCAGUUGUAGUUUCUUUGUGGGUUUUUGUUGUUGUUGUUGCUGUCGUCGGGUUGUUGUUGUUUGUUUUCGGAGCUAUAUGUGCUGUCUUCUGGGCGAUGCUGUCCAGUCAGUGCUUCCUGGGUGAGUCUCCGUAAGUGUUCUUGGUGUUUCUACUUCUCAGACUCCAGCAGUGGAGGUGGGGACCGCUGGUCGCAGAGAAACUGGACAGUGGGUUUCUCUGGGCGGGCCAAGCGGCAGACACCUAACGAGCACCUGUUGGGUGCAAGGUCAUGUGCUUGGGAAGGAUGGAAGGGGAGACUCGGGGUGUGAUUCUGCUCACAGGGUGCGACUCUGCUCUCUGUUUUCCUUGGACUCUAAUGUCAACGAGCAGAAUAUAUGGAAUUCCAGUUCCCCAAACUCGAGCCCAGGACAGAGCAGAGCUGAGACUGUGAGAAACAGGCCCUGAGGACCAGAUGUCCUCCCAGCUGGGACGUGAUGGAGUGGAGGAGGGAAAGGGACAGACGUGGGGCCGCGUCCGGGGCCACUCAGAUUGGGUUCCACUGUCCUGUGGCGGGUGGGGAACCGUUACGGUUUGUGAAGAGUAGUGACAGGAUUUUUUGAAACAGGGAUUAGGACAGAUGCAUUGGGCACUGUUGUGCUUCGAAUGCAAAGACAAGACUGAAGGUAGGAAACACCCUCCAAAGGGAAAGUUUGAUCAUGUGGCUGAACAAAAAUUAAUGGGAUUCCCCCCGCCCCCGAUUUAAACAAUGCAGUACUUUUUGGGAUUAUUCUCCAAGGCCUAACAACAGCACCUCGUGAACACAUGCAAACGCAUUUACCAAAGAAAUAUCGUGCCUUCUGUUGUACUUAUUACUUUAGUUACAUUUAACUUUGCUUGAUUAAUAUCAGGGAGAAAGCCGUUGGUAUCUGGUUGUAUCGUUUAUUAUAAAUUGGAUCACGUAGUUGAAUUAGCUCAGUUUCAUUUUAAUCCUGACUUUACUUAUUUCAUUACUGAUUUUAUGACUGUAUUGCAUAAUUUAUUUAUCAAUGUUUUAAAAAGUAUCUCUAUCUACCAACAUCUUUACUUGAAUAUAAAAGGAAACUAAAACCUUUUCUAAUAAAAAGGAAUUCUGAUUGGCUCAUAGGUUUGACACUGCAAACUGUCUUGUCUCUUAAAUUAUCGGAAGGAUCUAAACAUGCAAAAAUUAUGGGCAUACAUAAUUGAGACAUGGUUAUAAUAAAUUCUCACAUGAAGGCAUCCUCUAUGGAAAGGUGCAUGGAAAUGACUCCAUGUAUUUUCAGAUGCUUUCUGAGCACAUCGGUUUGAACAAGGUGCACAGCUAAGCAAGCUCCAGUCAGUCCAGCCCUUUGACGUGAUUCUUGGGACGUGGGGCUUGAGUGACCCGUGUCCUGGUGACUUCCCUGCUUCAGAUCAGGCGGUGCCCAGAGGUGUUCUUUCCUUGGAAGACCCGCUGAUUAAAGUUGAUGGCUGAUCAUCGACACUAGUUUUUAUUUUAUGACCACGUCACUUUUGGUACGGAUGCGAAGACCUGCCAAGAACUGAGUUCCAUUUGUCUGAAACAGCAUCUCUUCUCAACAGUGGACUUGUGUGACCAAGGAGGCAAGUCACUACCUCUUUAAAAAAGAAAAGUCAGAACAAAACUGAUCUUAAACUGGGUCUUAUUCUAACCAUACGUGAUAUUUAUCCGUGGAUACACAGGCUUCAGGAGAAAAAAAUCUAAACAGAAUUUUUUUUUUUACUUUGAGAAUUACUAGCUACUUCUGUUAAUCCCUUAUCUUUCAGCUUUAUUGGUAUCUAAUGAUUAAAUAAAAUUAUAUUUAAAAUAGACAGUAAUGAUUUGAUAUAUAUGUGCAUUGGGAAAGGAUUUCUGCAAUCCAAUUAAUUAUUAUGUCCGUUACCUUACGUAUUUACCUUUUUUUUGGGGUGAGAACACAUAAGUUGCAUUUUCUUAGCAAAUUUGUGCGGUGUUGUCCGUGACAGCCGCCCUGCUGUGCUUGAGGUCCUCAGACCUCAUUCAUCUUGUCACUGAAAGUUUACAUCCUCUCACCAAGCCACUCCCUGGUCCCCCCACCCCCCUGCCUCUGGGAGUCACCAUUUUUUUCUCUGUUUCUACAAGUUGUACGUCUUUUUUUUAGAUUCCACAGUAAAUUAUACCAUGUGGUCUUUUUUCUCUGUCCGGCUUAUUCCACCUGCAUGAUCCCUCCAGGCUCCUCCAUGUGGUUGGGGAGGACAGGACUCCCUCUUUUUGUUUUAAGGCUCAAUAAUAAUCCCUCUUUUUUCUAAGGCUGAAGAAUAUGCACUUUAUCCAUCCGUCUGUCCACAGACGCUCAGGUUUUUCCACCCCUUGGCAACUGUGACUAGAGCCGCAGUGAACACAGUGUAGCUCCCUCUUUGCUGCCAUGAUUCUGUCUCCAGAAGCAGGAUGGCUGAACUGCAGGGUAGGUCUAGUCCUAAUAUUUUGAGGCGUCUCCAUACUGUUUUCCGUAGUGGCUGUGCCGGUUUUCAUUCCGUCAUCUGUGCCCAAGGGUUCCCUCUUCUCCACUUUUCUUCCCUUCUCUUGCCAGCUUUUGCUAGUCCUUGUCUUUGGGCAAUAGACAUCCUAACAGAUGAGAGGUGACACUGUGGUUUGGAUUUGUUUCCCUGUUGAGUAGAAUGUUGGGCACCUCUUCACGUACCUGUUGGCCAUUUGUGUGUCUUCUUUGGAAAAAUGUCUAAGUCCUUUUGCCUUUUUUUGAAUUGGAUCAUUUUUACUUUUGCUGUGGAGUGUAUGCGUUCUUUCUAUAUUUUGGAUAGUCACCCCUUAUCAGAUGUAGGAUUUAUAGAUAUUUUUUUUCCCAUUCUGCAAAUUGCCUUUUCAUUUUGUUGAUGAUGUCUUCUGCUGUGCCGCAGCUCUUUAGUUU